rnacentral:rRNA from 1 species
CUACGGGACGCAGCAGUGAGGAAUAUUGCACAAUGGGGGGAACCCUGAUGCAGCAACGCCGCGUGGAGGAUGACGCAUUUCGGUGUGUAAACUCCUUUUAUAUGUCAAGAAAAUGACGGUAGCAUAUGAAUAAGCACCGGCUAACUCCGUGCCAGCAGCCGCGGUAAUAAGGAGGGUGCAAGCGUUACUCGGAAUCACUGGGCGUAAAAGGACGCGUAGGCGGGUUGGAAAGUCAGGUGUGAAAUCCUACAGCUUAACUGUAGAACUGCACUUGAAACUUCUAAUCUAGAGUAUGGGAGGGGGAGAUGGAAUUAGUGGUGUAGGGGUAAAAUCCGUAGAUAUCACUAGGAAUACCUAAAGCGAAGGCGAUCUCCUGGAACAUUACUGACGCUAAGGCGUGAAAGCGUGGGGAGCAAACAGGAUUAGAUACCCCUGUAGUC